CUGUGCUGGACCGCGGGGACCCUGGCGUCCCUGCUUAGAACCCACGCAGCGUCUCGGGCCGGCUAGGGGUACACCAAAGCGGACAAAAGCCACUGAGGGGAAGGACCUCGGCAAAACCUGAGUCCUGUCCUCUCGCUUUCCUCCCCGUACACAGCGAGCUUCACCACUUGCUCCGCACCUUCUCCAUCAACUACUACCUGUCCCUGGGAUCUGUCCAGUCGCCCAGCUAAAGUGCUCAGCAGGUCAGCAGCGCGGCGAGCUUCUAUGAGGCGUGGGGUCUGGGGCUCCUGGAUCUCUGUGUCCCAUUUCACAGAGAUUGCCACCUACUGCCGCCUGCUAGAAGAUGGGGAGGACUUCAAUCUUGGUGGUAUUCUGGACAGCAGCAAAUACCUGUAAAGCAUCCAAAAGACCAACACCCACAGGAUAGUGGACGGCAAAGUGGUGUUUGAGACCAACAUCACAGACGUCUUGAGGUGCUAAACCAGCAGAAGCAAGGUCCCUUUGCGGAGCAGGAGGGCAAUAAAAACUUCUGUGGUCAAAAAAAAAAAAAAAAAAAAAAUUACCCCCGCAUCACAGAGGUGUUUUCCUCACGCAAACGUAAUAUAGAUUCAUUAAUACAUAGAUGUGGAAAUUAGGGCAAUUUCCACAACUACUCACCCAGAGAGGAUUAAAAAAAUAAUUGACCACCAACUAAUUAAAUAAAUACAGAAGUCAUAAAUAAAGCAUGAGUAAUGUUUAUACAGUCAAACGAACAGAGAAUUAUGUUUGCAAUACACAUAUGGUUGAUUCAUAUUUGACUUUUUUUCUACACUCUUUUAAAGUGUACACAGUUAAAUAUAGUCAUAAAAAAUUAUAACAUAUAAGCAGAAACUAAAAACACAAUUAAAUGAUGUAAGACAGCCUAUCCUAACAGGAAAAUACAGGAAUAUAAAAUAUUACAAAACAAAAUUGGAUAAACAUUAACCUGUGAAAUACUGAAUAAACAAAUCAUGCAACUGAAGAAGACUCUUUCUAGAUAACUGAAAUAUUCAACCAUAACUGGACACCCAUAAAGAACAGAUUUUGAAUUAUUAGCAUAUGGUUAGAGUAACAAAAUUUCACAACAAAUGCAUUAUAAUCUUCUAUAAAGAACAUUUAGAAGAAAAUUUUAAUGAAGAUUUCAAUG
rnacentral:lncRNA from 1 species